rnacentral:rRNA from 1 species
UGAGGAAUAUUGCACAAUGGGGGAAACCCUGAUGCAGCAACGCCGCGUGGAGGAUGACGGCCCUUGGGUUGUAAACUCCUUUUCUGAGGGAAGAGUAAGGACGGUACCUCAGGAAUAAGGCCCGGCUAACUACGUGCCAGCAGCCGCGGUAAUACGUAGGGGUCAAGCGUUAUCCGGAAUUAUUGGGCGUAAAGCGCGCGCAGGCGGUUUGCCAAGUCUGAUGUGAAAGCUCCCGGCUUAACUGGGAGAGGUCGUUGGAUACUGGUAGACUUGAGGCAGUGAGAGGGGUGCAGAAUUCCUGGUGUAGUGGUGGAAUGCGUAGAUAUCAGGAGGAAUACCAGUGGCGAAAGCGGCACCCUGGCACUGGUCUGACGCUCAUGUGCGAAAGCGUGGGGAGCGAACGGGAUUAGAUACCCCCGUAGUCC